rnacentral:tRNA from 1 species
CGGGGCGUGGCUCAGUUUGGAAGAGCGUUCGGUUCGGGACCGAAAGGCCAGCAGUUCAAAUCUGCUCGCCCCGA